GACGAACGCUGGCGGCGUGCUUAACACAUGCAAGUCGAACGAUGAAGCACCAGCUUGCUGGUGUGGAUUAGUGGCGAACGGGUGAGUAACACGUGAGUAACCUGCCCUUCACUCUGGGAUAACCCUGGGAAACUGGGUCUAAUACUGGAUACGACCGACCUCCGCAUGGUGUGUUGGUGGAAGGUUUUGGGGUUGGGGAUGGACUCGCGGCCUAUCAGCUUGUUGGUGGGGUAAUGGCCUACCAAGGCGACGACGGGUAGCCGGCCUGAGAGGGCGACCGGCCACACUGGGACUGAGACACGGCCCAGACUCCUACGGGAGGCAGCAGUGGGGAAUAUUGCACAAUGGGCGAAAGCCUGAUGCAGCGACGCCGCGUGAGGGAUGACGGCCUUCGGGUUGUAAACCUCUUUCACCAGGGACGAAGCUAACGUGACGGUACCUGGAGAAGAAGCACCGGCUAACUACGUG
rnacentral:rRNA from 1 species